AGCCGCGCCGCCUCCGCCGGGGGCUCGGACUCUGCGCGUAGCGCCCUCGCGGAGCGGACGAAGGACCCGUUUCCAGACCCGUCGCGCUUGCCUCCUGGGUUCCUUCUCUCUCACGCCCUGGGCUAACGCCCUGGGCUUGGUGCUAGGUCCAGCUUUUUGUCUUACUCAGAAGAGUUCCCCAGUGGGGAGAGCCUGUGCUUCCAUGCAGACCUAAAAUUGCAUGCGUUUUCCCAGCCCAGAUCACUCUUGACUCUACUUUCUAAAACUUGGGGCGUAUAGAGUGCUGCCAUAACACAGUAUUAAGUCAUUGUUCACCUUUAGCAAAAGUUGUCUGAGGAUAAGGUGGUUGUCAAACUGUGUCCUUCACUUAUGUUACUGGUGCCUUUCUGUCUUCCUUGGGAGUUAGGAAAACAGCCUUAGCCAUUCAGUGCGGUUUCUUGAGCAUGCAAAGUGAUUAUUUGUAUUUAUUCUGUUCCUAAGCCUAAUUAAUGAGGUUCAAGUACCCUUUGCCAAGCAAAUAAUAUACCAAUGACCCAGCACCAAUGCCAUCAGUAAACCGUUGAAUCAUUAAGUAAACCAUUAAGAUAUGAACAGACUGUCAGCACAGACACCAUCUAUUGUUCUGGGUACUGCUAGAGAAUAGUCACUUAAUGGAUUUCAACCGCAUGGUAUAUCAUGCACGUGUAUAUCAUUUUCUAGUAAUACAUAUGUAAUGUAUAUGUGACGUCACUGAGCAAAUUGUUUUCAACAGUAGCCACCAAAACACAUAAAGCUCAAGAGAAAUGAUUUCACAUACCAUAUGCUCCUUGUUCCCAGUCUUUCUUCAACACAAAGCUAUAGCUAAUAGAGCCUCCAAGGGAAGAAAAAAAAAAUGGGGGUAGGGAGGAAAUAAUUUGAGGACAGAGGCUUUUCUUUCUAGUAUUCAAAACUGGAAGACAUCCAGAGAUCCAUGGUGCCUGACCAGUGCUUGGAAAGCAGCUUAGUGACGAGAAGAAUGAACAGAAAAAUUGAUAGAACUAGAAAAACGGUGUCCUAAUAGGCAUCUAAAGAAAACAGAAAGGAGGAAGGACCUUUGUUUCGAUGACAAGCACCAUCUAGUGGCAGCAGGUGAUGACAACAUAAUGUCUCCGAGAAGAAUAAAGAUGAAAGUUUUUGAAUAGGUAGUUCAGUUGUUCCUGGUGGCAUAUAGGCAUGGCAUUCUUUGAUUCUAAAAUAAGAAGUUGUAUGUAGUAAAAUAAUGCAACCGAUUGGCCCUAUGUUGAUUAUUGAAAGUAAGGUACAGAUCUGACCUGCAGAUAAAAUUGUUACCAUAGAAUUUUCUCAGUAUUUGUGUGACUUUGAAUAGGUCCUUAAAGAUUUCUGUAUUUAAGGUUCCUCAUUACAUAAAAUAAGAAGAGUUAUGGCUUGUCACCACAUGUUAGCUGUAAAGCACUGUGUUCAGCAAAGAGCAGGAUCCAUAAAUUUAUCAUAUUUGGGGGUUUUCACUAUUAGGAAAAAAAGGUGAAUAAUAUUGUUGGUUGUUUCUCCUGGAAUUAUACGAAAUUAUAACUUUCAUAUGCAUUUCAUAUUGGGGCCUAAACAGAAAGGUGGUAGGAGAUCUGUUAUGGCUUGUUACUGUAAACAUCGAAGACUGAUCAGAGAUGUUUCUCAAUAUCAAGUCCUUUUCAAAUACAUGGCUCAUUGGUGAAAGUCUGACCAACAUUUGCUACACAGAAUAGAGAUUUUCUUUGUACUGGUAUUUGUUUGGACUUGUUGUUUUGUUAGUAAACAAUAUUGCAACAGAAUGAUCAUUAAGGUUGCCACUUUGUAUGAGUUUAGCUAACCACUUCAUUGUAU